GUGUAGCGGUGAAAUGCGUAGAUAUUAGGAGGAACACCAGUGGCGAAGGCGGCUUGCUGGACGACAACUGACGCUGAGGCGCGAAAGCGUGGGGAGCAAACAGGAUUAGAUACCCUGGUAGUCCACGCUGUAAACGAUGAAUACUAGGUGUGCGGGGACUGACCCCCUGCGUGCCGCAGUUAACACAAUAAGUAUUCCACCUGGGGAGUACGAUCGCAAGGUUGAAACUCAAAGGAAUUGACGGGGGCCCGCACAAGCGGAGGAGCAUGUGGUUUAAUUCGAUGAUACGCGAGGAACCUUACCCGAACUUGAACGUAUAGUGAAUAAUUUAAGAGAUUAGAUUAGUUAGCAAUAACGCUAUACGAGGUGCUGCAUGGUUGUCGUCAGCUCGUGCCGUGAGGUGUCAGGUUAAGUCCUAUAACGAGCGCAACCCCUACACAUAGUUACCAACACGUAAAGGUGGGGACUCUAUGUGGACUGCCGGCGCAAGCUGCGAGGAAGGCGGGGAUGACGUCAAAUCAGCACGGCCCUUACGUUCGGGGCGACACACGUGCUACAAUGGCAGAUACAGAGGGCAGCGAGAUAGUGAUAUUGAGCGAAUCUCAAAAAUCUGUCUCAGUUCGGAUCGAAGUCUGCAACCCGACUUCGUGAAGUUGGAUUCGCUAGUAAUCGCAGAUCAGCCAUGCUGCGGUGAAUACGUUCCCGGGCCUUGUACACACCGCCCGUCAAGCCAUGGGAGUCAGCGGUGCUUGAAGACCGUAACCGCGAGGAGUGGUUAAAGGCAAAGCUGGUGACUGGGGCUAAGUCGUAACAAGGUAGCCGUACCGGAAGGUGUGGCUG
rnacentral:rRNA from 1 species